rnacentral:rRNA from 1 species
GUAGGGAAUAUUGCACAAUGGAGGAAACUCUGAUGCAGCGACGCCGCGUGAGUGAUGAAGGCCUUCGGGUCGUAAAGCUCUGUCGCAGGGGAAUAACACAAUGAAGGUACCCUGUAAGAAAGGAUCGGCUAACUUCGUGCCAGCAGCCGCGGUAAGACGAGGGAUCCUAGCGUUGUUCGGAAUCAUUGGGCGUAAAGCGGAUGUAGGUGGCUAUGUAAGUCAGAUGUGAAAGCCUGGGGCUCAACCCCAGAAGUGCAUUUGAUACUGCGUAGCUUGAGUGUCGGAGAGGUUACUAGAAUUGUUGGUGUAGUGGUGAAAUACGUAGAUAUCAACAGGAAUACCGGAGGCGAAGGCGGGUAACUGGCCGAACACUGACACUGAGAUCCGAAAGCGUGGGGAGCAAACAGGAUUAGAAACCCGUGUAGUCC